GCGGGAUUCUAUGUGAAGCGAAACAAGCCAGACAUAGAAAGCCAAAUGCUUCCUGAUGUCACAUAUGUGUUAAAUUUUACAAUGUUGAACGCAUACAAGCAGAAUCUGGCACCCUGGAAUUCUUGGCUCCAACUCAAAUUGAAAAUGACAAUGAAAAAUGUGAGGGUUUAGAACCAGAAUAUUCCCCUAAAGCCACACCUGCUUACAGAUGGAUUCCUUUCAUCGUGCGCUUCUUGCCGCGAAGUCAGCAGACUAUGGAAUGAAAACGAGAGCCUAAGGCAUGGAAGCAGCCAGGGCAGCGCAAAGAGAGACACUCGUGACAGAGGAUUUCCAGAGAUGCUCAAAAAGUGGAGAGAAAAAUAAAAAUAUGAGGACACAGUGUUACUGCCCACUAGGGACUCAGCAUCCCAGACCCAAUACUGGAAUCAGAGAGAUGGUACAUAGUGGACCCUGAGUCUGCAGACACUUUGAUUCUAGACUGCCUCAACUCUAAAACAACAAGAAAUAAACUUCUGUUAGUUCAGGUGUUGUAUUAUAGCUGUCCAAAAGACUAAGAAAAUUAAGAAACUACAUGGCUCACCUGUGAACACUAUUAUAUAAUCAAAUUAUAUUAAAUGCUUGUAUUUAAUGCAGCUAUAUGUGUCUAGGUAAUGACAGCUCCCAGAGUGAAAUCAAGUAUGCUGUCUGGGAAAGCAGAGGAAGGAUUCAGUUUUGACGUAGGGUGUAAGAAUUUCUCUUUGCUGUGUAUCUUUCCACCACUAAGAGGAAUAAGAUGCUGAGUGCAGAGUGAAUAACUGGAUUAGAGUUGACAGUAGAAGAGAUUUGAGACAACAGUUAGGCUACUGCAUUUUUAUAAUUUCUCUCACCUGAGGAUGCAUUUCAUUGAGAAUUUUCAACAACUCCAAGAAGAAACUGAAGUGUCACAAAAAUGUUAAGACAUCUCUCGAUGGAUCUGUUUUGCCAAAAGUC